CCUACGGGAGGCAGCAGUGGGGAAUAUUGCACAAUGGGGGGAACCCUGAUGCAGCGACGCCGCGUGAGUGAAGAAGUAUUUCGGUAUGUAAAGCUCUAUCAGCAGGGAAGAAAAUGACGGUACCUGACUAAGAAGCCCCGGCUAACUACGUGCCAGCAGCCGCGGUAAUACGUAGGGGGCAAGCGUUAUCCGGAUUUACUGGGUGUAAAGGGAGCGUAGACGGUUAUGCAAGUCUGAAGUGAAAGCCCAAGGCUCAACCAUGGGACUGCUUUGGAAACUGUAAAACUGGAGUGCAGGAGAGGUAGGCGGAAUUCGUGGUGUAGCGGUGAAAGGCGUAGAGAUUAGGAGGAACAC
rnacentral:rRNA from 1 species